rnacentral:rRNA from 2 species
GAUACCCUAUUAUUUUAAAAGUAAUUAAUAAAAUCUAAUUAGUAAUAGUUAAGUUCUUGAAAAUUAAAGAAUUUGGCGGUAUUUUAGUCUAUUCAGAGGAAUCUGCCCUAUAAUUGAUAAUCCACGAUUUUUUAUACCUGAUUUAUUAAUUUACAUAUCGCCGUAGGUUGAAUAUUUUUUUAAAAUUAUAAUAUUCAUAAUUUAUUUUGAUAGAAAAAAUCAGGUCAAGGUGUAGUUUAUAAUUAGGAAGAGGUGGGUUACAAUAAAUGUAUUUAUUAUGGAUUAAUUAAUUAAAUUUUUUUAUGAAGGUGGAUUUGAAGGUAAUUUUAUUUA